CUAAGCCAUGCGAGUCGAGAGGGUUCGGCCCUCGACGGACUGCUCAGUAACACGUGGAUAAUUUGCCCUUAGGUGGAGGAUAAUCUCGGGAAACUGAGAAUAAUACUCCAUAGAUCUAGGAUGCUGGAAUGCACUUAGAUUGAAAGUUCCGGCGCCUAAGGAUAAGUCUGCGGACUAUCAGGUUGUAGUCAGGGUAAAGACCUGACUAGCCUACAACGGAUACGGGUUGUGAGAGCAAUAACCCGGAGACGAUAUCUGAGACACGAUAUCGGGCCCUACGGGGCGCAGCAGGCGCGAAACCUUCACACUGCGCGAAAGCGCGAUAAGGGGAUCCCAAGUGCCAGCUCGUAAGAGUUGGCUGGUUCUCUGUCUAAAAGCAGAGAGAGUAAGGGCUGGGUAGACGGGUGCCAGCCGCCGCGGUAA
rnacentral:rRNA from 1 species